rnacentral:rRNA from 1 species
AUGGAUCAACCAGGGAACUUCACCCGCAAUCACUACUUGUGGGAUGCCACAAGGGUUCGGCACUACCGGAGUUACUUCAGCCAGCUGAAGAAAGCCAUGAAUGGCGGUGCCACUGUUCUUGGCUACUUUCCGUGGUCUCUCCUGGACAAUGAGUGGAUGUCUGGCUACACUUCCAAGAUCGGCAUGGUGUACGUCGACUUCAACAGCCCCACCCUAGAACGGCACACCUCACAUUCCUCCAUAUAUAUGACCUCACGCAAAAAAAAACCUCCAAUGGUUGGUCGUUUGUGA